UCCUAGCAACCAACCACUCAACGGACGGUAGAGCUUGCGGCUGAGAUGCCUUGGCAGUGUGUAGCCAGCCAGCCGAGUGGGUUGGUCUAAUGUGACUCCUUGAAGAUAAAACAGCAACAUCCGCCUCGAGCUCCUGCGGCAGUGUCCUGCCUGCCAUGCCCCGCCGCCGCCGUGAUGGACUGUUCCCUAAAAUCUGAGCCAAAAUGAACCUUUCUCUUGAAGUUGAUUUGUCCAGUAUUUUGAAGGGCAAAGGCCCACGUGCACCCUGCCUGGAAGGGGCGGAGCUGGCCUGCCAGGGCUGAGUGCCCUGACUCUCUCUUCUGCCCUUCCUCUCCCAGUAGCCUAGAACCUUUAGUCUGCUGUUCAGAUGAUCAUGAGAGAAAACACAGUUCCCUUCGGAAAAGCCAAUAUAGCUUUAUACUAUAAUAUAAAUAUAUUGUGACAUUCAAUAAUGUAUUUUUAAUUUAAAUAUUAAAUGUAUUAGUAGCAUUCAAA